ACGGGUGAGUAACACGUGGGCAACCUGCCCCCGGCUCUGGGAUAACUCCAAGAAAUUGGUGCUAAUACCGGAUAUUCUUCUUUCACCGCAUGGUGGUUGGAGGAAAGUUUUUCGGCUGGGGAUGGGCCCGCGGCCUAUCAGCUUGUUGGUGGGGUGAUGGCCUACCAAGGCGACGACGGGUAGCCGGCCUGAGAGGGUGACCGGCCACACUGGGACUGAGACACGGCCCAGACUCCUACGGGAGGCAGCAGUGGGGAAUAUUGCGCAAUGGGCGGAAGCCUGACGCAGCGACGCCGCGUGAGGGAUGACGGCCUUCGGGUUGUAAACCUCUUUCAGCAGGGACGAAGCGUGAGUGACGGUACCUGCAGAAGAAGCACCGGCCAACUACGUGCCAGCAGCCGCGGUAAUACGUAGGGUGCAAGCGUUGUCCGGAAUUAUUGGGCGUAAAGAGCUCGUAGGCGGUUUGUCGCGUCGGCUGUGAAAGCCCGGAGCUCAACUCCGGGUCUGCAGUCGAUACGGGCAGACUUGAGUGUUGCAGGGGAGACUGGAAUUCCUGGU
rnacentral:rRNA from 1 species